UGGGGACUCGUCUAAUGGCAGGACAGUUGCCUCUGGAGCAACGAGUAGUGGUUCGAAUCCAUUGUCCCCAG
rnacentral:tRNA from 1 species